rnacentral:rRNA from 1 species
AAUAGAUACCCAGGUAGUCCACGCCGUAAACGUUGGAUACUAGGUGUGGCGUCCCGAUCAACGGAUGCCGUGCCGAAGCUAACGCAUUAAGUAUCCCGCCUGGGGAGUACGGCCGCAAGGCUAAAACUCAAAGGAAUUGACGGGUCCCCGCACAAGCGGCGGAGCAUGCGGCUUAAUUCGAUGCAACCCGAAGAACCUUACCUGGGUUUGAAAUCAUGGGAAAAGCUGUAGAAAUACAGUGUCCGUAAGGGCCCAUGACAGGUGGUGCAUGGCUGUCGUCAGCUCGUGUCGUGAGAUGUUGGGUUAAGUCCCGCAACGAGCGCAACCCUUGUCCUAUGUUGCCAGCGGUUCGGCCGGGGACUCAUAGGAGACUGCCGGGGAUAACUCGGAGGAAGGUGAGGACGACGUCAAGGUCAUCAUGCCCCUUAUAUCCAGGGCUGCACGCAUGCUACAAUGGUCGGUACAACGGGCAGCGACCCCGCGAGGGUGAGCGAAUCCCACAAAGCCGGCCUCAGUUCGGAUUGGAGU